rnacentral:lncRNA from 1 species
AGAAUGCUGCUGUCUCGUGUACUUACUGUUAAGGAUCCUGGAAAAGGGAGUGGUUCCUCCUAGCUGCAAACAAGGGCGCUACUUUUCUUUUCUCUUUAAUAGAAUUACGUUUUAUAGGUGUGUCUAGGCAACACAAGGGAAUGUGAAAGACUUUCAGAGGGAAUGUUUGUGAAUACAUCUGGUGUGUACUAAAAAGCUGGAAAACCCCUAAGUAAAUGCAAUAUCGAUAGAAAGCGAGUUUCUUGAAGAGUCAUCUGCUAAACUCCACUAGAGUCAUCUCUACAGAUGCAACUGACUCACUUAAAAUAGCUGUGUGGAUAUAGAACUUUUAUCAACUACUAUUUACUAAAUUAUAUUGGUGUGUUUGUCCUCAUCUUAGAAUAGCAUAUCAAUAGAUGCUAUAAAAACAUAAGAGGGUGUGGUUAAGAGAAAAAAAAAUUGCCAUUAAGGAAUCAGCAAAUAGGAUGUCUGAAGUGAGGAUAUAGCACCUAUCUCUGAGAUUAAAGUCAUCUGAUCAAAAAUGAUGCCUCUGAGACUAUAACAAAGGAAUGAAUAAUGAAAUAUAAGAAUGGGGAUUCU